CCAUUUGGGUUUUCCAUACAAGUAUAAAGGACACAGCGUAAUUGGCGCAGGGACAGUAGUUAAUGCCUCGCUGCUAGAGGCAGAAAAAAAUGAUCUCGCUAACGUUCUUCAAUCACUACAUCGUUCGCCGCUUCGGCUGUUUCGCUCGUUACCGAAUCAGGCUGAAAUAACAUCGGAGCGAAGUGCAUUGGAAACUGUAGAUCGAUUCGCGGCAAGUGGAAUCGGCUUUUGAAUCUCAGCUUUUAAUUGUAUUGGCUUUCGAUAUUUUUCACGUUGUAUUUUCUUGUAUCUCAAAAAUUACCGAUGCACCGACCAUUUCAACUGUUUACAUUCCCAAUGUUCCUCUCGGCGAUGUUCGAUCGCUGUUUUACCGUGUUCAUCUUACGAUCGCCUACCUGUAAACAUAAAACUGUGAAAGUGUAAAAAUAAAUUGCUAGUUUCAUCUGGUGAAAACGAAAUGUAUUACUCGAUACCGCGUAUACGAUUUCUCUGCAUUACAUUUAAACGAUCGUAAUAAUCGUAAUUGCUAUUUCUCCCGUCUGCCAAUUACAGGUAAAUCUUCAAGCUAUUUUUCAUUUUCAUCCGUCGUGUUAAGAUAUUCUUGUUUAGUUACAAGCAGACAUUCGAAUAAAAAUUCAACAAAAAUACACUUAUCCGAGUUCCCUUCUGUGUUUUUCAAUGAGUAUUUGUCCUUUGAAGAUUGGAAUGGAGAAAACCACGAAUCACAUCUUCUAUUGCUACAUGCAAGUCGUUUCAAAAUUUAGCAAAUUAACGACAAAUCCCAAGAUCACUGGGAGCCUGAUUUUUCCUCGGUAUGCAAUCUCAUAAAUCUACAGUUUAUCGAUCGACAAAUAGCAUAAUUGAACAAAGAGUACUUACCUAAACAUCGAUAAUUAUAAAGUUUAUAGUCCGUUGAAAAUCAGAUCAGGAAACACGUGUGUCAUAUCUCGCUCGUGCAUUAAGCCAACCGACAGCAACCGAUGGCUGCAUUGGGAAAAUUUUGAACAGUUUUGAAAAUAAUAAUAGGUUCCAGUUUUAUUCAUUUUAUUGAAUCGCUGUCGGGUCUGGCCUACUUAUCAUUUUUCCCCUGCGAUCUCCAUUGCAUCUUUUCUCGAUAUUUCGCUCUCGUUUUCUAGACCCAAUGAAAUUGGCUCGUUAAAAAAAAUAAAAAAGAAA